rnacentral:rRNA from 1 species
AGCAACAAGGGUGAAAUCUGUACUUAAGUUAAAUUUCUUGUUUAAAGCAUCUUUUAGGUAGUUAAACGACUAGGAUUAGAUACCCUAUUAGUCUAUCCUUAAUUAACCUGGGUAGUAAUAUUAAAACCUAAAGAAUUUGGCGGUUUCUAAACUUACUAGAGGAACCUGUCCCGUAAACGACAAUCCACGAAAAAAUCAACCCAAACUUGUUAUUCAGCUUAUAUACCGUCGUUUAGGGGAUUAAACAAAUAGAUCUCCUUAAGAGCUUAGGCUAAUAAAUCAGAUCAAGGUGUAGCUUAUGUUUGGGUGAGGAUGGGUUACAAUGAAAAUUCAUACGGAACCUUUAUAUUACUGCAAAGGAGAAGGUGGAUUUAGAAGUAAGACCUAACACACUGAAGAAAGCCCUGAGAAAUGUACCU